rnacentral:rRNA from 1 species
AGAGUUUGAUCCUGGCUCAGGACGAACGCUGGCGGCGUGCCUAAUACAUGCAAGUCGAACGCUUCUUUUUCCACCGGAGCUUGCUCCACCGGAAAAAGAGGAGUGGCGAACGGGUGAGUAACACGUGGGUAACCUGCCCAUCAGAAGGGGAUAACACUUGGAAACAGGUGCUAAUACCGUAUAACAAUCGAAACCGCAUGGUUUUGAUUUGAAAGGCGCUUUCGGGUGUCGCUGAUGGAUGGACCCGCGGUGCAUUAGCUAGUUGGUGAGGUAACGGCUCACCAAGGCGACGAUGCAUAGCCGACCUGAGAGGGUGAUCGGCCACAUUGGGACUGAGACACGGCCCAAACUCCUACGGGAGGCAGCAGUAGGGAAUCUUCGGCAAUGGACGAAAGUCUGACCGAGCAACGCCGCGUGAGUGAAGAAGGUUUUCGGAUCGUAAAACUCUGUUGUUAGAGAAGAACAAGGAUGAGAGUAACUGUUCAUCCCUUGACGGUAUCUAACCAGAAAGCCACGGCUAACUACGUGCCAGCAGCCGCGGUAAUACGUAGGUGGCAAGCGUUGUCCGGAUUUAUUGGGCGUAAAGCGAGCGCAGGCGGUUUCUUAAGUCUGAUGUGAAAGCCCCCGGCUCAACCGGGGAGGGUCAUUGGAAACUGGGAGACUUGAGUGCAGAAGAGGAGAGUGGAAUUCCAUGUGUAGCGGUGAAAUGCGUAGAUAUAUGGAGGAACACCAGUGGCGAAGGCGGCUCUCUGGUCUGUAACUGACGCUGAGGCUCGAAAGCGUGGGGAGCAAACAGGAUUAGAUACCCUGGUAGUCCACGCCGUAAACGAUGAGUGCUAAAGUGUUGGAGGGUUUUCCGCCCUUCAGUGCUGCAGCUAACGCAUUAAGCACUCCGCCUGGGGAGUAGGACCGCAAGGUUGAAACUCAAAAGGAAUUGACGGGGGCCCGCACAAGCGGUGGAGCAUGUGGUUUAAUUCGAAGCAACGCGAAGAACCUUACCAGGUCUUGACAUCCUUUGACCACUCUAGAGAUAGAGCUUCCCCUUCGGGGGCAAAGUGACAGGUGGUGCAUGGUUGUCGUCAGCUCGUGUCGUGAGAUGUUGGGUUAAGUCCCGCAACGAGCGCAACCCUUAUUGUUAGUUGCCAUCAUUUAGUUGGGCACUCUAGCAAGACUGCCGGUGACAAACCGGAGGAAGGUGGGGAUGACGUCAAAUCAUCAUGCCCCUUAUGACCUGGGCUACACACGUGCUACAAUGGGAAGUACAACGAGUCGCAAAGUCGCGAGGCUAAGCUAAUCUCUUAAAGCUUCUCUCAGUUCGGAUUGUAGGCUGCAACUCGCCUACAUGAAGCCGGAAUCGCUAGUAAUCGCGGAUCAGCACGCCGCGGUGAAUACGUUCCCGGGCCUUGUACACACCGCCCGUCA